rnacentral:rRNA from 1 species
GGGUGAGUAACACGUGGGUAACCUGCCUGUAAGACUGGGAUAACUCCGGGAAACCGGGGCUAAUACCGGAUGCUUGAUUGAACCGCAUGGUUCAAUCAUAAAAGGUGGCUUUUAGCUACCACUUACAGAUGGACCCGCGGCGCAUUAGCUAGUUGGUGAGGUAACGGCUCACCAAGGCGACGAUGCGUAGCCGACCUGAGAGGGUGAUCGGCCACACUGGGACUGAGACACGGCCCAGACUCCUACGGGAGGCAGCAGUAGGGAAUCUUCCGCAAUGGACGAAAGUCUGUCGGAGCAACGCCGCGUGAGUGAUGAAGGUUUUCGGAUCGUAAAACUCUGUUGUUAGGGAAGAACAAGUACCGUUCGAAUAGGGCGGCACCUUGACGGUACCUAACCAGAAAGCCACGGCUAACUACGUGCCAGCAGCCGCGGUAAUACGUAGGUGGCAAGCGUUGUCCGGAAUUAUUGGGCGUAAAGCGCGCGCAGGCGGUUUCUUAAGUCUGAUGUGAAAGCCCCCGGCUCAACCGGGGAGGGUCAUUGGAAACUGGGGAACUUGAGUGCAGAAGAGGAGAGUGGAAUUCCACGUGUAGCGGUGAAAUGCGUAGAGAUGUGGAGGAACACCAGUGGCGAAGGCGACUCUCUGGU